AAUGAACGUUGGCGGCGUGGAUUAGGCAUGCAAGUCGUGCGAGAAGUCAUCUGCUUGCAGAAGACGGAAAGCGGCGAAAGGGAGAGUAACGCGUGGGUCACCUACCCCUGGGUCUGGGAUAGCGGCGGGAAACUGCCGGUAAUACCGGAUAACGUCUCUGGACCAAAGGUGGGAUUCCGCCUGGGGACGGGCCCGCGUCCUAUUAGCUUGUUGGUGGGGUAACGGCUUACCAAGGCGACGAUGGGUACCGGGUGUGAGAGCAUGACCCGGCUCACUGGGACUGAGACACUGCCCAGACACCUACGGGUGGCAG
rnacentral:rRNA from 1 species